AACACAAACCCGACGCUGAAUGCGUCAAGGAAUUUAAAAUUUGCUCUGAGCGCAUCGACAUACACCGGAGACGGUUUUUGUGUCGGUUGUGUUCUGACACGAAUAUAGAAUGACUCUCGGCAACGGAUAUCUAGGCUCUUGCAUCGAUGAAGAACGUAGCGAAAUGCGAUACUUGGUGUGAAUUGCAGAAUCCCGUGAACCAUCGAGUCUUUGAACGCAAGUUGCGCCCGAUGCCAUUAGGUUGAGGGCACGUCUGCCUGGGCGUCACAUAUCGAAGCCUCUUGCCAAUUUCCUAUUGAGGGGUAUUGUGCAGGGUGAAUGUUGGCCUCCCGUGAGCUCCAUCGUCUCAUGGUUGGUUGAAAAUCGAGACCUUGGUAGGGUGUGCCGUGAUAGAUGGUGGUUGUGUUACACACAGACCAAGUCAUGUGCUGCUCUAUCGAACUUAGCCUCUUUUACCCACAUGCGUUACUAAACGCUCGUGAUGAGACCUCAGGUCAGGCGGGGCUACCCGCUGAAUUUAAGCAUAUCAAUAAGCGGAGGAAAAGAAACUAACAAGGAUUCC
rnacentral:rRNA from 1 species